GCCUUCGUGGCGUAGUAGUUAGUACACUCGAUGCGUAACCGAGAGGUCCGUGGUUCGAGUCCCGGCAAAGGUA
rnacentral:tRNA from 1 species